CUAGGCUUCUGAGUGGGACAAAUGGAUGGAUGGUGGUAUCAUUCAUCAAGACAAGAAAAGCUAGAAGGUGGGGGUAAAGGCAACAUGAUGAGUUUAUUUUAGGAAGUAUUGAAGUUAGAUGGUAAGGUAUAGGUUGACCAUAUGGGUCUGGCCCUCAAAGACAAGGUCUGGGCUGGAGAAAAUAUUUGUGAAUGAGUUGUUUAAAGUUUUGACACUGAUGUGAUCUAUUCCUCUUGAGCAUCUUUCCAGAACAACACGUCUGUAAGUAGGGAUAAAUCAAAUGGUUUUGGACACCAGGCUAAGUGAAUUGUUGAACAACUUAUUUCAUAUGACAGGGAUUUGAAGGACUGUUGGGAGGUAGGUCUAGUGUGGAUGAAUUAGGAGAUGUAUGGUUUCAAGUAUAUCAAAAGCUACCCCCGAGCCCAAAUACCCAUCAUUUUCCCCUUGACCUGUCAGAGGGCCUAAUAUCGCUAGCGAUCAUGUUACUCUUUAAGGAAUUCUCAUCUUAUUUGGCUUAGAGUGAUAAAACUUUAGUAAAAGUUGUCUACACCAAACUUCUCACUCAGAAUGAGGCUGCUUUACAAAAUCUCUGGACGUAGGGCCUCAGCUUGAACAUGUAUGUCUGUGGUAGGGAAUCCAGUAUUUGGCAAGACAGUGCAGAUUUUUAGUUCUGUUCCAAAAAUUCUUCCCUGUAUUGAUCUUCUCAUCUGGCACGACACAGAACAGUUCUCCUUCUUUUCCACAGAGCAGACCAUCAACUGGUGUUAGCCCAUCAGUCAUCACUAUUCUCAGCUCAGCUGCCAGGAGAUGAAUGAAUUAGAUUCAACUGUCACUGAAGCCCUUCGAUAGACAUCACCUCACUCAGAGGUCACAGCAACCCUUCGAGUGAAUCAUCUUCAUGGAUCAUCUCUGUCUGCUCCCCCUGGAGGGACCACUGAAAUGGAGUCGGGGGACAGGACAGGAGAAGAGCCCAGUGUGACAGGCCAUGGCUAGUUGGAGUACACCACCUGGGGAAUGUCUGGAAACAUUUCAGAUGUGCUGACGCAUCUUGCUGCCACAGAAAAAGAAAUCUGUUUCCACAAAGAGAAGCAAGAGCUGGAGACACUGGAAGUUUAUGGACUGGAGAAGGCGGCUCCGAGAAGAAGAGCAUUCUGGCGCUCAGCGAC